rnacentral:rRNA from 1 species
AGAUUGAACGCUGGCGGCAUGCCUUACACAUGCAAGUCGAACGGUAGAGUAGCAAUACUCGAGAGUGGCGAACGGGUGAGUAAUAUAUCGGAACGUGCCCAGUCGUGGGGGAUAACGUAGAGAAAUUUACGCUAAUACCGCAUACGAUCUAAGGAUGAAAGCGGGGGAUCGCAAGACCUCGCGCGAUUGGAUCGGCUGAUAUCAGAUUAGGUUGUUGGUGAGUAAAAGCUCACCAAGCCGACGAUCUGUAGCUGGUUUGAGAGAACGACCAGCCACACUGGGACUGAGACACGGCCCAGACUCCUACGGGAGCAGCAGUGGGAAUUUUGGACAAUGGGCGAAAGCCUGAUCCAGCAAUGCCGCGUGCAGGAAGAAGGCUCGGUUGUAACUAGCCUUGUACGAACGAAAAGGCUCGUUACUAAUAAAGAGGUCCGAUACGACGGUAACCGUAAGAAAGUAAGUACCACCGGUACUAACCUAACGUACGACCGACGCGACGCCGACGUAACGUACUA